GUAGAGUGAGCUGAACUGAGCAGAAAGAUGUUCUCCGCUCUUAAGGCAUGUUCACAGAGGGGCUCCAAAGUGAUGAAAGGCUUCCAGCAGGAUCACAGGUCAAUCAUCCAGCACAAGCCACCUAAAGACAAGAUCGGGCCAGUGCAAUCUGUGUUGGCCAUCUGUGUGUUUGCUGCGGCUCUGCUGGCCCCAGCUGGAUGGAUCUUGCACCAUAUCCCACACUACCGGCAGAAAUCAUCUGCACCAUGAUUGACUGUGGAGCUUCUUGCCGUUCGACCCAGAAGGAUUUGGAUGAUAAAGUUUUGAUGAUUUCAUCCUUAAACAUAAAAUAAAAACUAAAUAAAACAAUGUGCAUUUGAAGCUUUUGUUCAAUUGUUGUUCUCAAAAAAUGCUACAAUACGUAAUGUUAAAACCCAAAGCUGAGUGAUUGUCUGUUUUUCUUCAGUCAUUCUUGGGCAAAACAUUUUUAAAUUUGUGUUUAGUAUUUGUAUUUUUCUGUAUGAAAUUAGUAUUUCUAAUUUACAAUCACAUCAUUGUUAAUCCCCAAAGAAACUGGAAUGGGUAUAAAAUCUGAAGGUAGAGCCAAACAUUACAAGAGCAACUUGAUAUCAAUAUGUCUAUUAAUGCAAUUGCUGCUUGCAGUGCAGUCAAAUUUCAUCACAUAAUGCUGAGAUAUUAAUGUUUUGGUUAACUCAUUUAGCUACAUGUCUAGUCAAAUCAACUUUGAGUAUAACGAAGGGCAGUUGUACACCACU